rnacentral:lncRNA from 1 species
GAUGCCUCGAAGAUCAGUAUCAUUUAAAGGUAGAGGACAUAGUCAUCAGCUCUCUAUGAAUGAAAUAGAUGAUGAUGUCAAUAAAAAAAGACCUUCACCGCAUAACACAACUGCAGAUUCUACUUCUCUAUCAGAUGGUUCAAUAAAUUCAUAGAUUAGUUUUAAAUUUUAUGAACAUUGUUAAGUAUUAUGGAUUUAUUUUAAAUUUUAUGACUGUUGUUAAGUAUUAUGAAUUUAUUUUAAAUUUUAUGAACAUUGUUAAAUAUUAUGGA